rnacentral:rRNA from 1 species
GACGUAGGGUCCGAGCGUUGUCCGGAGUUACUGGGCGUAAAGGGUUCGUAGGCGGUGUGGCAAGUCGGGAGUGAAAUCUCCAGGCUCAACUUGGAGGCUGCUUCCGAAACUGCCGCGCCAGAGUGCGAGAGAGGCCAGUGGAAUUGCAGGUGUAGCGGUGAAAUGCGUAGAUAUCUGCAGGAACACCCGUGGCGAAGGCGGCUCUCUGGAACGCAACUGACGCUGAGACGCGAAAGCGUGGGGAGCAAACAGG